AGUGAACGCUGGCGGUAGGCCUAACACAUGCAAGUCGAACGGCAGCACAGUAAGAGCUUGCUCUUACGGGUGGCGAGUGGCGGACGGGUGAGGAAUACAUCGGAAUCUACUUUUUCGUGGGGGAUUACGUAGGGAAACUUACGCUAAUACCGCAUACGACCUACGGGUGAAAGCAGGGGAUCUUCGGACCUUGCGCGAUUGAAUUAGCCGAUGUCGGAUUAGCUAGUUGGCGGGGUAAAGGCCCACCAAGGCGACGAUCCGUAGCUGGUCUGAGAGGAUGAUCAGCCACACUGGAACUGAGACACGGUCCAGACUCCUACGGGAGGCAGCAGUGGGGAAUAUUGGACAAUGGGCGAAAGCCUGAUCCAGCCACACCGCGUGGGUGAAGAAGGCCUUCGGGUUGUAAAGCCCUUUUGUUGGGAAAGAACAGCAGCAGGUUAAUACCCCGCUGUUCUGACGGUACCCAAAGAAUAAGCACCGGCUAACUUCGUG
rnacentral:rRNA from 1 species